rnacentral:rRNA from 1 species
UACAGAGGUCUCAAGCGUUGUUCGGAUUCAUUGGGCGUAAAGGGUGCGUAGGCGGCGCGGUAAGUCGGGUGUGAAAUCUCGGAGCUUAACUCCGAAACUGCAUUCGAUACUGCCGUGCUUGAGGACUGGAGAGGAGACUGGAAUUUACGGUGUAGCGGUGAAAUGCGUAGAUAUCGUAAGGAAGACCAGUGGCGGAAGGCGGGUCUCUGGACAGUUCCUGACGCUGAGGCACGAAGGCAGGGGAGCAAACGGG